AUGUGAUUUCUUUUCUUUUAAAUAUUUGAAACUAGACUAGAAUAGAAUUGUUUUCGGACUUUGUCCGUUGGGGAAAAUAAUCAUCAACAACCGUCAUUAGUUAUGAUGAUUACGGUCGGGGAGGGGCUGCUGUUCUUAUUUUCUUUUUUUGGUUUGAAUUAUUUCUUGUUAAAUCGGCACCUACCGGCCUUUCUUGUAAAUUGGUGAAGGACAGGUUGUGCCAUUUAAUUGUUUUAGCGCCAACGUUCUGGAAUUUCACCUGAUUGGGCCAAUUGAAAUUGCGCCAUCAACGCAGUUGGCCACUUUGACGGCAACGAAUGUCGUCCAUUUGCAAUUCAAAUGGCGCUCCGUUUUUCCUGUUUUCUCUUUGGACUUGAUCCGUUUGCUUUUGAGACGUACACGCAGUGGUGCCACCUCUGAUGACUUUUGCUGUUUUUUUCUGAUUAUCACUCUUGUUUUUUCUCUAGUGAAUCAGACACAAGACGACCAAAGUUAUUUCCUUUUGCACAUUGAAAUAAUACAAAAAAAAUGACUGUGGGUGGUAGAAUCGUGAAACGCAAAACGUUGGUACUAAAAAAAAAAAAAAAAUCAACCGGACUCCUGGAACACAUUUUUUUGUUUGCUUCCUCCUCGUUUUUCUUUAAUGGCCGGGGUGUACUUGGAAGAGAAUUAACGAUUGUUUAGGAGCGCCUUUGACGAAACUUUGCAUUCUUAGUUGCUGCCUCUAUUGCGCAGCAUCCAUUUUCAAUGACGCUUGUCGCGUUCAGGGGGCAAUAUGUCUCCAUCUCUCUUUUGUUUAGAGUCGCUUUUCAGUUUUCCUAUUUCCCUUCACGUUUCAGCUGUUUUGUACAGUCACCAUUUUUUUGUUUUGUUUGUUUUGUUUCAUUCCUUUAGUCAGAUAAAAAAAUAAAAAUAAGAACGUUCUUUUUAUUUAAUUGUGUGGGUCAUUUGGCCCGUCUCUCGUCCAGCCGGAACGAUUCGUUGCCGCCAUUGCGGUCCCGCCGCUCUUCAGCUUUCUUCCGUUGACAUUUCCCUUUUUUUUUUUUUGGGUGUUUUUUAAGGGGGUAUGAGCGUUAAAAAUAGCGAAGUUAAAAGGAAUUGUACAAAAGCUCUGCAAUGAAACGCAGAGUGAUGUAUGCGAGAGGGGGGGAGCAGCAAAAAAUGCGAAAACGUGUGUUCCGUCUUCGUGGGACGUUGUAUGCGUAAUAGUUAAUUUAAAAAAGAAAAAGAAAAGAAAAUAGUGGUACGUGCGCGCGAAAUGCAAUUUUUUUGUUUGUUAAGGAUACACCUACACACGUUGAGAAGUGAGCGCCAAAAAUGUUGCCAAAUGGGACCGAUUCCAAGUUUUGGGCUCUUUUUGGGCCCGUCCCGAUCCCAUGGAUCGCCGAGUGUAGUGACCUCUUUCUUUUUUGUUUUGUUGUUAUUCUUUCGUUUAUACUACACUCCUACACCCAUUUUUUCUCAGCUAUAACCGGUAACUUUAUUAAUUUUUGUGCUGGUUUGCGCAAAAGAAAAUGAUGGAAAUAGUUCCGAGAAAACAAAAAAAUGGAAGAGAAGGCGGCUGACGUUCAAUCAAGGCCUCGUCCCCUCUUGGCUCACCUUGAACAUAAAUUAAAUUCAUCUUUUUUUUUUUUAAUUUUUCAACAGCUGAGAUAAAUGAAAAAGAACGGCCAUUUCACUUGUGGGUACGUUUUAAAAAAAAUCCCUCCAUUUUUUUUCUCUAGUUCCGGUACUUUUGUUUAAAACAUAAACGGGAGUAAACGAAAAUAUGAACCAUACGCGUCGGCCUUGAUAGUCAAGGGCUUCACCCACAUAAUCGUUUUCGUCUAGCCUUAUAUUACGUAACAGAACGUCCAAUUUUUGUUUUUUAAAAUUCAAGAACGCGCGUGAAAAAGAGGAUUAUGAAUAGACUCCCCCCCCUUCCCUUUUUUUAUUUAUUUAUUUUUUAUUGCUAUGAUAAAUAAAAACAAAAAUUGACGAGUGUUCCCGUUGUCGCCUCGGUUCAUCCUCCAUGUAAUAUGAUCGAUCACUAUCGAUCUAAAAAAAAAAAAAGAAAUGUCACCGCAGAGUUUCGAUCCUGCGUCGGUUCGUCCCGGGCUCCCCUUCGGUUCUCCCGCAUUGGCUCAUGCGCCGCACCGCCAGACAUUCGUUCGUCUAGGCGUCCGUACCCCGUGACUUGAAUGUCACGUGACUCGGCAACGCACCACAGUAUUUUCCCUCUUUCUUUCUUUCUUCUUGGUAUUAUAACAGAAGGCAAAAAAAAAAAAGAAAAAGAAAAACUGGCGGAUAAGCAUAGUUUGCUGGCGCGUUAGCCAAGCGAAACACAACUGUGAAAGGGAGUUUCAGAUAGAAGAUAGGAAUACAAAAAAAUGGGGCCGACUCACGAAAUGCGAAACUUUUUUUUUUGUUUUUUUGUUUUUUGUUUUUUCGUUAUAUAAAACAACAACAGCUGUUUGUCACCAUACAGACGAUUACUAUAUACCAUGCGAGCCGUCUAGUAUGUAGAGUGUUUUUGGUCGAAUGCGUAACACCUCUUGUCCCGAAAAUAGCUACCGAGCCUACCAUUACCAAGAACGGGAAAAAGAGAAGGGGGGAGAGAGAACACAACUGGCGGGAAAAUAAAAAAAAUGCAAAAAUGUUUGAGAGGAGGAGGGAAAGCUAUUCAUUUUUAAUCUGAAGGCUUCUGCUUUUUGUUUGGUUUGUGCUUUUUCGCGACUAUCAGCUUUUUAGAUACGUUGUUAUGAUAGGGGGGGACUUAACCAUCGAUCGGUUGUUGCGGAAGACGUCAUAAUAAAUAAAGAAAACUCUUUGACUUGAUAGUUGUAACCUUGGCUUCGGCCAGUGUCGAUUUUUUUCCUUAGCUCUUGCAUAACAUCGCCAUAGAGUCUGUUUUUUUUUAUUUUAUUUUUUAUAUCUGUUAUGCGCACAUCGUAGAGACUAGAGGCCUUACGUUGCCAAGGACAACCUCUAUUUGGCAUUGAUCAAGUCGAAGGUUUUUUCUUCCCCUUCCCCCCUUUUUUUGGGGGGGGGAGGGUGUUAAAUGGAAUGCGUUUCCUUCUUGUUGUUUUCCAUUCCUGACGCUAGAGGCUUGCCAGCUCGAUGGCCAAGUGACUGUAGCAAUUGGAUGUGGAGACUUGAAAAAUCCUUCGUUUAUAUAAUACGUGAAGGCCGACGCCAUUGUUUAUUACGUCCAUCGUGCUCAAACUAAAAACUCCCGCCACCCCCCCUCUCCCCUCGUGUAUUUAUUAUUUAUUUUUUAAGGAUUACACUAACCGACGCAAGAAGGGAAAUAAAAUUUAAAAAAAAAGAGAAGGGUACGAAGCAAUGAACAUACGAGCGUAGACUCAUUUUCUAUGGUGUCUGUCUGGGACUGGCCAGACUGUAGCGCCGUUAGACGUCCUUGGAUGUUUUGCGCGACGUCGACGCUAGUGGCGCUAGUCUACUGACAUGUACAAGUCAAGCCCAUUUGCAAACAGCUGCGUUUUUUCUGCUAAUUGUCAGCUUUGUUAGGCUACAAUGAUGAUGUCACUUUGGAAUUUUUUUUCUUUUCAAAGCAAAGGUUUCCCUGAAUCCAUUCUUUCCAGAAGGGGGGAGGGGGAGCAAAGGUGUUGCAUUUUUUUAAAUUUUUGAAUUUUAAUAUAUGCCUCGACGUUAUUGGAUCUUGGGAUCAGCGUGAAGCCGCACCGAUGUUCGUCAAUCUUACGUUUUGUAAUGUGUCGUUGUGGACGUCUGCCAAGAAAAUACGACGGUCGUUACUGCACGAAAUAAAAAAAAAAAAUUACCCCCCCCCCCGUCUUUCCCGAAAUAAAAAAUCGAUAUCUGUGCGUGUCUAGCUGAUAUCUCGGUAGUCAUGUGACUAUUCUUUUACGACUUGUGUAAGGGGGGCGAGUGGGGAGGGGGUCAGAGGGAUUGGGUAUUCACGAAGACACCCCCGGCCCCUCCCUUCGUAAGAGCCGGAUCGAUUACACAGCCAGUUUUCUUUAGUUUUUUUGAUUAGAGAGAAAGAAUCGAUAGCCCGUCUGUAAAACUUAAAUAUUCAUUCGAGACAGGUGACUAUUUCGUUUAAUCUUUUUUCUUAUUUUUUUUAUUACCUGUCUACUGCGCUUCUUUUCUCGGUGGAAGGGAAUGAAUUAUUGCGCACUUUUACUUGUCGUCGUCUGCUUCCAUGGCCGCGCAUCGUCUUAGACUGUCGGGAAUGUUGGUCUGACGACGUCCUCCCGUGAACGACUCCGGGAAAUUCCUACGAGGAAGUAAUCCAUUUUUGGGAGGUGGGGGUUAGAAAAAGAGCAUCUAAACUCAAGCGAAAAAAAAAACGAACGAAAAGAAAGACACCGUAAAAGUUCCCUCCCGUAGAAAGAUAUGUGAAAUAAAA